rnacentral:rRNA from 1 species
AUUGAACGCUGGCGGCAUGCCUUACACAUGCAAGUCGAACGGCAGCACGGGAGCAAUCCUGGUGGCGAGUGGCGAACGGGUGAGUAAUAUAUCGGAACGUGCCCAGUCGUGGGGAUAACGUAGCGAAAGCUACGCUAAUACCGCAUACGAUCUAUGGAUGAAAGCGGGGGAUCGCAAGACCUCGCGCGAUUGGAGCGGCCGAUAUCAGNUUAGGUAGUUGGUGAGGUAAAGGCUCACCAAGCCGACGAUCUGUAGCUGGUCUGAGAGGACGACCAGCCACACUGGGACUGAGACACGGCCCAGACUCCUACGGGAGGCAGCAGUGGGGAAUUUUGGACAAUGGGCGCAAGCCUGAUCCAGCAAUGCCGCGUGCAGGAUGAAGGCC